rnacentral:rRNA from 1 species
AACGAACGCUGGCGGCGUGCCUAACACAUGCAAGUCGGGCGGGAAAGUUCCCUUCGGGGAGCAAGUACAGCGGCGAACGGGUGAGUAACACGUAGGUAACCUACCCUGGGGACUGGGAUAACCUGCCGAAAGGCGGGCUAAUACCAGAUAAGACCACGAGGGCUAUGGCUCUUGAGGUAAAAGAUGGCCUCUACUUGUAAGCUAUCACUCCGGGAUGGGCCUGCGCGCCAUUAGCUAGUGGUGGGGUAACGGCUCACCAAGGCUGAGAUGGCUAGCUGGUCUGAGAGGAUGGCCAGCCACACUGGGACUGAGACACGGCCCAGACUCCUACGGGAGGCAGCAGUGGGAAUAUUGCGCAAUGGGCGAAAGCCUGACGCAGCGACGCCGCGUGGGUGAUGAAGGCC